UCACAUUAGUGUCAAAAUAUGAGAUUCAUUAUGAUAUUCAUUAUGAGCUUCAUAAUGAUAUAAUAUCAUUUUUACACGGGGUGUAUAAAAAAUUAUU